rnacentral:tRNA from 1 species
GGCUUGGUAGCUCAGUUGGUAGAGCAAUAGACUGAAAAUCUAUGUGUCGAUGGUUCGAUUCCAUUCCAAGCCA